rnacentral:rRNA from 1 species
AGCGAACGCUGGCGGCACGCCUAACACAUGCAAGCCGAGCGAGAAAGUGACUUCGGUCGCGAGUAAAGCGGCGAACGGGUGAGUACAACGUGGAUAAUCUACCCUAGGGUCUGGGACAACCCCGAGAAAUCGGAGCUAAUACCGGAUAAGACCACGGUAUCCAAGGAUACAGUGGUAAAAGAUUUAUCGCCUUUGGAUGAGUCCACGUCCCAUCAGGUAGUUGGUAAGGUAAAAGCUUACCAAGCCUAAGACGGGUAGCCGGCCUUAGCGGGUGAACGGCCACAUGGGGACUGAGACACGGCCCUGACUCCUACGGGAGGCAGCAGUGGGGAAUAUUGGGCAAUGGGCGAAAGCCUGACCCAGCGAUGCCGCGUGAGGGAUGAAGGCCUUCGGGUCGUAAACCUCUGUCAGGAGGGACGAUGGGACCUUUGUCUUGACGGUACCUCCAGAGGAAGCCCCGGCUAACUCCGUGCCAGCAGCCGCGGUAAUACGGAGGGGGCAAGCGUUGCUCGGAAUUACUGGGCGUAAAGGGUCCGCAGGCUGUCAGGCAAGUUGGUUGUGAAAGCUCAAGGCUUAACCUUGGAAUUGCGUCCAAAACUGCCUGACUAGAGUCCAAGAGAGGUUGGCGGAAUUCCCGGUGUAGCGGUGAAAUGCAUAGAUAUCGGGAGGAACACCAGAGGCGAAGGCGGCCAACUGGCUUGGUACUGACGCUCAGGGACGAAAGCGUGGGUAGCAAACCGGAUUAGAUACCCGGGUAGUCCACGCCCUAAACGAUGGAUGCUAGGUAGGGGGAAUUUAUUUCUCCCUGCCGUAGUUAACGCAUUAAGCAUCCCGCCUGGGGAGUACGGUCGCAAGGCUGAAACUCAAAGGAAUUGGCGGGGGCCCGCACAAGCGGUGGAGCACGUGGUUUAAUUCGAUGCUAAGCGAAAAACCUUACCAAGACUUGACAUGUUAACUUAAGCCUAUACGAAAGUAUGUGGUGGUUCCGGGCUUGCCCGGGACAGUUAUCACAGGUGCUGCAUGGCUGUCGUCAGCUCGUGCCGUGAGGUGUCCGGUUAAGUCCGGUAACGAGCGCAACCCCUAUCUUUAGUUGCCAUCACUUCGGGUGGGCACUCUGAAGAGACUGCCAGCGACAAGCCGGAGGAA